AAGCAUAUCAAUAAGCGGAGGAAAAGAAACCAACAGGGAUUGCCUUAGUAACGGCGAGUGAAGCGGCAACAGCUCAAAUUUGAAAUCUGGCCCUCGGGUCCGAAUUGUAAUUUGUAGAGGAUGAUUUUGGUGCGGUAUCUUCCGAGUUCCUUGGAACAGGACGCCUUAGAGGGUGAGAGCCCCGUACGGUUGAAUGCCUAGCCUCUGUAAAUCUCCUUCGACGAGUCGAGUAGUUUGGGAAUGCUGCUCUAAAUGGGAGGUAAAUUUCUUCUAAAGCUAAAUAUUGGCCAGAGACCGAUAGCGCACAAGUAGAGUGAUCGAAAGAUGAAAAGCACUUUGAAAAGAGGGUUAAAUAGCACGUGAAAUUGUUGAAAGGGAAGGAUUUGUGACCAGACUUUUUCUGGGCGGAUCAUCCGGGGUUCUCUCCGGUGCACUUUGCCCAGUAAAGGCCAGCAUCGAUUUUCGGCGGCGGAUAAAAGCAGUGGGAAUGUGGCUCCCUACGGGGAGUGUUAUAGCCCAUUGUAUAAUACGCUGCUGGGGAUCGAGGUACGCGCUUCUGCAAGGAUGCUGGCGUAAUGGUUAUCAAUCACCCGUCUUGAAACACGGACCAAGGAGUCGAACAUUUAUGCGAGUGUUUGGGUGUUAAACCCUCACGCGUAAUGAAAGUGAACGGAGGUGAGAGCCCGUACGGGUGCAUCAUCGACCGAUCCUGAAGUUUUCGGAUGGAUUUGAGUAAGAGCAUAACUGUUCGGACCCGAAAGAUGGUGAACUAUGCGUGGAUAGGGUGAAGCCAGAGGAAACUCUGGUGGAGGCUCGCAGCGGUUCUGACGUGCAAAUCGAUCGUCAAAUCUGCGCAUGGGGGCGAAAGACUAAUCGAACCAUCUAGUAGCUGGUUACCGCC
rnacentral:rRNA from 1 species